CUAAAUUCCUGCACUAAGAAGUGUUUACAAAUAAUAUCUUCUUAAAAGUGUAUAUGAGAUAUAAUGUUGGCUACUCGAGGCUUAUAACCUCGAAUAUUUUCUCAGUGCUAAUCUUGAAAAUUCACAGUGAUUUUAUACAAUAAAAACUAGUGAUGGAAAGUAAAGAGGAUAUAGUUAGAGUAAAACAAGAGCCAGAAAACUCUUGGACAAAUGCGGACGACGAUUAUAAUUUCGACUUGGUAGACUCUUGCAAAGUUGAAAAAUUUGAAACUUAUACAGCCAGUCACGCGUAUCAGGAUAUGAAGAUAUAGGCGAGCGGGAGGUUACCCAAAAAACAGGGUUGACCGACCACGGAGAGGGGA